GACGAACGCUGGCGGCGUGCUUAACACAUGCAAGUCGAACGGAAAGGCCCUGCUUUUGUGGGGUGCUCGAGUGGCGAACGGGUGAGUAACACGUGAGUAACCUGCCCUUGACUUUGGGAUAACUUCAGGAAACUGGGGCUAAUACCGGAUAGGAGCUCCUGCUGCAUGGUGGGGGUUGGAAAGUUUCGGCGGUUGGGGAUGGACUCGCGGCUUAUCAGCUUGUUGGUGGGGUAGUGGCUUACCAAGGCUUUGACGGGUAGCCGGCCUGAGAGGGUGACCAGCCACAUUGGGACUGAGAUACGGCCCAGAGUAGUACGGGAGGCAGCAGUGGGGAGUAUUGAACCAUGGGCGGAAGCCUGCUGCAGCGGCGCCGCGUGCGUGAUGACGGCAUUCGGGUUGUAACCCGCUUUCGCCUGUGACGAAGCGUGAGUGACGGUAAUGGGUAAAGAAGCACCGGCUAACUACGUG
rnacentral:rRNA from 1 species